UGAGGCCAUGGGCACCUGGGAGUGAGUAACAUGUAUGCAAACCUGGUGUAGGAACUUCCUGGGGAAGCUGGACUCGAAGGGAGAUGUCAAGGCAGGGACUCCCAGAGGCCCAGGCGGAGAGAUGGCUGAUUGUGAGUGGGGGAGGCUGUAGGGGUGCCAUGCCCGCCACGCCUACUUCAACAGUCUCUGAAAGGGGCUUGCAAAUGAGGACACGGUGGUUCAGAGAAGCCAGGUUCCUUGUCCAAGGCCACACAGCCCAAGAGCAGGGCUGGAACUCUGAUCUGCUGACCUCGCAGUCUCAGGAAGGCAGGCAGCUGGAGUACACACUCAAGGUUGUAUUUGGAAACUGCCAUCAAUGACACUGAGGCCUGAACUUAGUGGAAAUGGGGGUGCUGCCCUGACUUUUCAUUGAGAUGUACCUCCUUUACUCCAUCAUCCAACCUGGGGGACUUCUGGCUCUGUGGACAGGAUUUGGAGAAGCUUGGAGACGGGGACAGAGUUCUCUGGCGGCCAUGCAACUGAGUGCAAUCACCCUAAAGAGAAGCAUUGAGAAGCCAUAAAACCUAAAUGCCCUGCCAUGCAUCAUUACAUCGCGCAGUUAUUCAAAUUUAGUAAAUUAAAUUAAAUAAACCCAAAUAACUUGAUUUCGGGGCUUUAAAAUUCAUCUCUAUGGUGCCCAGUAGUCAAUUUCCUUUAUUAUUAUUGUUCAUCAAGUAGAAUUUAUGUUUUUUAUGAAUCAAAGUCCUUGCCUGCCUCGCUGGCAGAAGCUGCUCCCGGCUCCGUAGGCUGAGUGGGGGGCUUGGUGCGCCAUCUACCGGCGGGUUCGGGCACAGCCGCCGGGGGGCCUUCUGGACGCAAGCCCUG